AUCUUCCCAAUGAGAGGCGGCUGAUGCCAAAUACAGGACGGAGUGCAGCCCACAAGAACCACAGCUGCCAGUGAAGAGAGAAUGCAGCCAGAAGCCAUGAGUCACCCACCUGAGACAGGUUCCCCUUCUUCUUGCAGUUGGUCCCUCCAAUGAAGAUCAUGUUGGGCAUGACUGGCCGGGGGUAUUCGAACACAAAAUCAUACCGUAACAGCCACAGAGAGUUCUGGUGUAAGGCAGCCACAUUCCCUGAAGCUACCAGAAAAUUCCACAGCACCCUUGGAAGAAGAUGCGCUUGGGAAAAGCAAACGACCAUUUUGGUACUGCUAUGAGAAAAGUGCAGUCGACUCCUAAGAUGGGCUCAAAAAAGCCACAGGGCUCCUAGAAUGUAUUUUGAAACCUCUGGUUUGAUACUGGGGGAGAAUAAACCUUCCCACCUGUG
rnacentral:lncRNA from 1 species